GAUGAACGCUGGCGGUAUGCUUAACACAUGCAAGUCGAACGGACUCUUCGGAGUUAGUGGCGGACGGGUGAGUAACGCGUGAGAAUCUGGCUUUGGGUUCGGGACAACCACUGGAAACGGUGGCUAAUACCGGAUGUGCCGAGAGGUAAAAGAGAAAUUGCCUGAAGAUGAGCUCGCGUCUGAUUAGCUAGUUGGUGAGGUAAAGGCUCACCAAGGCAGCGAUCAGUAGCUGGUCUGAGAGGAUGACCAGCCACACUGGGACUGAGACACGGCCCAGACUCAUACGGGAGGCAGCGGUGGGGAAUUUUCCGCAAUGGGCGAAAGCCUGACGGAGCAAUACCGCGUGAGGGAAGAAGGCUCUUGGGUUGAAAACCUCUUUUCUUAGGGAAGAACAAAAUGACGGUACCUAAGGAAUCAGCAUCGGCUAACUCCGUG
rnacentral:rRNA from 1 species